GCCGUGGUAGCUCAGUUGGGAGAGCGUUAGACUGAAGAUGGGUUUAGGCGGUGAACCCGGCUUGAACCUAUCAGCACCAUCUACAGGCCGCCCGUUCGAACCGGGCUCAUGGCA